rnacentral:lncRNA from 1 species
UAUGCUUGGAGCCAAGAGGAUGGACGAAAUUGAAGAUUUGAAGAUGAUGUUUCCUACUUGAAGAAGGUUUCCUAGUCGAAGUAGGAAAGCGCCUAAGUGAAGAUGGAAUCCUAGUUAAAUUAGGAUUCCUAGUCAAAAUGGGUUUCCUAGUUGAAUUAGGAUUCUUUGAAGAUGAAGUUUCCUACUCGAAGUAGGAAAGUUGAAUCCAAAUGGCAUCAAGUUUCAGCAACAAAGAAGAUUUCCAAGUCCAAGAAGGAAAGGUUUCCAAGAUGAAGUAGGAGAAGAAUUCCAAGUCAAGGGAGGAUUGAGACAUGUUUUCCUAAUGCUAGAAGGACUCCUAGGUGUUGUAGGACACAAAUAAGAAGUU